rnacentral:misc_RNA from 1 species
GUGAAUCAUCAAAUUUUUGAACGCAAAUUGCACUCUCUGUGGAGAGUAUGCCUGUUUGAGGGUCAGUAAUAAUAAAAUCGGGGUGUUGCUCUUUUGUGACACAACGGAGUUUGGGCUACCUUUUACUUUCGGGUUUAAAAAGCUUGAAAUUGAACUUUUGUUCGCACUUUUAGGCGUACAUAGAUUUAUUUUUAUCGUCUAUUCUGGUGCCAAUUAUCUAUUAUGUGCGAUCAUGUUUAUAUGAUCUCGUGCCCAUAGUUCUCAUCUUGUGACCUCAAAUCAGGUA